rnacentral:rRNA from 1 species
GACGAACGCUGGCGGCAGGCCUAACACAUGCAAGUCGAGCGAGGACUUCGGUCCUAGCGGCGGACGGGUGAGUAACGCGUGGGGACGAGCACUUUGCUUCGGAAUCGUCCUGGGAGACAGGGAGUAAUACAGGAUGGGCCAUUAGGGGGUAAGAUUUUUCGGCGAAGGAUGGGGCCGCGAUGGUUUAGGUAGUUGGUGGGGGAAUGGCCUACCAAGCCGACGAUCCAUAGCUGGGUUGAGAGGAUGCUCAGCCACACUGGGACUGAGACACGGGCCAGACUCCUACGGGAGGCAGGAGUGUGUAAUCUAAGACAAGGAGGCAAACCCUGAUCUAGCCAUGCCGGGUGAGCGAUCAAGGCCUUAGUGUUGUAAAUCGCUUUCAGCUGGGAAGUUAGUGACGGUACCAGCAGAAGAAGCCCCGGCUAACUCCGUG